UUAUCAAAAACAUGUCUUUUUGAAAUAAAUUUAAAGUCUAACCUGCCCAUUGAAAAAUUUUAAAAGGCUGCGGUAUUUUGACCGUACAAAGGUAGCAUAAUCAUUAGUUUUUUAAUUGAAAACUUGUAUGAAGGGUUGAACGAGAUAUUAGCUGUUUCAUAAAAAAUAUUAGAAAUUAACUUUUUAGUAAAAAGGCUAAAAUGAAAUUAAAAGACGAGAAGACCCUAUAGAGUUUUAUAUUUUUAAAAAUUUAACUUAUUUAGAUAAUUUAAAAUUUUAUAUUUAAAAAUAUUUUGUUGGGGUGACAAUAAAAUUUAAUAAACUUUUAUUUAUUUAAUACAUUGAUUUAUGAAUAAUUGAUCCAAUUUUAUUGAUUAAAAGAUUAAAUUACCUUAGGGAUAACAGCGUAAUUUUUUUAUAGAGUUCUUAUCGAUAAAAAAUUUUGCGACCUCGAUGUUGGAUUAAGAGUAAUUUUAGGUGUAGCAGCUUAAAAAUUAAGUCUGUUCGACUUUUAAAUUCUUACGUGAUCUGAG
rnacentral:rRNA from 1 species